UACAGAGGUGGCAAGCGUUGUUCGGAAUUACUGGGCGUAAAGGGCGCGUAGGCGGUUCGUUAAGUCCUGUGUGAAAUCCCCCGGCUCAACUGGGGAACUGCACAGGAAACUAGCGGGCUUGAGUUCGGGAGAGGGAAGCGGAAUUCCGGGUGUAGCGGUGAAAUGCGUAGAUAUCGUGAGGAAGACCAGUGGCGAAGGCGAAUCUCUGGACAGAUCCUGACGCUGAGGCACGAAGGCUAGGGGAGCAAACGGG
rnacentral:rRNA from 1 species